rnacentral:misc_RNA from 1 species
GAUGAAGAACGUAGCGAAAUGCGAUAAGUAAUGUGAAUUGCAGAAUUCAGUGAAUCAUCGAAUCUUUGAACGCACAUUGCGCCCGCUAGUAUUCUGGCGGGCAUGCCUGUCCGAGCGUCAUUUCAACCCUCAAGCCCCCGGGCUUGGUGUUGGGGAUCGGCGAGCCUCCGCGCCCGCCGUCCCCUAAAUCUAGUGGCGGUCUCGCUGUAGCUUCCUCUGCGUAGUAGCACACCUCGCACUGGGAAACAGCGCGGCCACGCCGUUAAACCCCCAACUUCUGAACGUUUGACCUCGGAUCAGGUAGGAAUACCCGCUGAACUUAAGCAUAUCCAUAAGCGGAGGA